rnacentral:rRNA from 1 species
CCUACGGGAGGCAGCAGUGAGGAAUAUUGGUCAAUGGACGAGAGUCUGAACCAGCCAAGUAGCGUGAAGGAUGACUGCCCUAUGGGUUGUAAACCUCUUUUAUAAAGGAAUAAAACGAGGCACGUGUGCCUUUUUGCAUGUACUUUAUGAAUAAGGAACGGCUAACUCCGUGCCAGGAGCCGCGGUAAUACGGAGGAUCCGAGCGUUAUCCGGAUUUAUUGGGCUUAAAGGGAGCGUAGAUGGGUUGUUAAGUUAGUUGUGAAAGUUUGCGGGUCAACCGUAAAAUUGCAAUUGAUACUGGCAGUCUUGAGUACAGUUGAGGUAAGCGGAAUUCGUGGUGUAGCGGUGAAAUGCUUAGAUAUCACGAAGAACCCCGAGUGCGAAGGCAGCUUACUAGACUGUGACUGACAUUGAUGCUCGAAAGUGUGGGUAGCAAACAGGAUUAGAUACCCGGGUAGUC